AGUGAACGCUGGCGGUAGGCCUAACACAUGCAAGUCGAACGGCAGCACAGUAAGAGCUUGCUCUUACGGGUGGCGAGUGGCGGACGGGUGAGGAAUACAUCGGAAUCUACUUUUUCGUGGGGGAUAACGUAGGGAAACUUACGCUAAUACCGCAUACGACCUACGGGUGAAAGCAGGGGAUCUUCGGCCCUUGCGCGAUUGAAUGAGCCGAUGUCGGAUUAGCUAGUUGGCGGGGUAAAGGCCCACCAAGGCGACGAUCCGUAGCUGGUCUGAGAGGAUGAUCAGCCACACUGGAACUGAGACACGGUCCAGACUCCUACGGGAGGCAGCAGUGGGGAAUAUUGGACAAUGGGCGCAAGCCUGAUCCAGCCAUACCGCGUGGGUGAAGAAGGCCUUCGGGUUGUAAAGCCCUUUUGUUGGGAAAGAAAAGCAGCAGAUUAAUACCCCGCUGUUCUGACGGUACCCAAAGAAUAAGCACCGGCUAACUUCGUG
rnacentral:rRNA from 1 species